CGGUAAAAGAACUGAUGAACAAUUCUUC
rnacentral:sRNA from 1 species